rnacentral:rRNA from 1 species
UACAGAGGUCCCAAGCGUUGUUCGGAUUCACUGGGCGUAAAGGGUGCGUAGGCGGUCGGGUAAGUCUGAUGUGAAAUCUCACAGCUUAACUGUGAAACUGCAUUGAAUACUAUUCGGCUCGAGAGUUGGAGGGGGACUGGAAUUCUCGGUGUAGCAGUGAAAUGCGUAGAGAUGUGGAGGAACACCGAUGGCGAAGGCAGCCCCCUGGGUCAAGAUUGACGCUCAUGCACGAAAGCGUGGGGAGCAAACAGG